rnacentral:misc_RNA from 1 species
GCGGAUGUGGCGCAGCUGGU